rnacentral:rRNA from 1 species
UGGGGAAUAUUGGGCAAUGGGCGAAAGCCUGACCCAGCAACGCCGCGUGAGUGAUGAAGGCCUUCGGGUUGUAAAACUCUUUGGACAGGGACGAAGAAAGUGACGGUACCUGUAGAACAAGCCACGGCUAACUACGUGCCAGCAGCCGCGGUAAUACGUAGGUGGCGAGCGUUAUCCGGAAUCAUUGGGCGUAAAGGGUACGUAGGCGGAUAAGCAAGUUAGAAGUGAAAUCCUAUAGCUCAACUAUAGUAAGCUUUUAAAACUGCUCAUCUUGAGGUAUGGAAGGGAAAGUGGAAUUCCUAGUGUAGCGGUGAAAUGCGCUGAUAUUAGGAGGAAUACCGGUGGCGAAGGCGACUUUCUGGCCAUAUACUGACGCUGAGGUACGAAAGCGUGGGUAGCAAACAGG